rnacentral:rRNA from 1 species
UUAAGUGACUAAGCGUACACGGUGGAUGCCCUGGCAGUCAGAGGCGAUGAAGGACGUGCUAAUCUGCGAUAAGCGUCGGUAAGGUGAUAUGAACCGUUAUAACCGGCGAUUUCCGAAUGGGGAAACCCAGUGUGUUUCGACACACUAUCAUUAACUGAAUCCAUAGGUUAAUGAGGCGAACCGGGGGAACUGAAACAUCUAAGUACCCCGAGGAAAAGAAAUCAACCGAGAUUCCCCCAGUAGCGGCGAGCGAACGGGGAGCAGCCCAGAGCCUGAAUCAGUGUGUGUGUUAGUGGAAGCGUCUGGAAAGGCGCGCGAUACAGGGUGACAGCCCCGUACACAAAAAUGCACAUGCUGUGAGCUCGAUGAGUAGGGCGGGACACGUGGUAUCCUGUCUGAAUAUGGGGGGACCAUCCUCCAAGGCUAAAUACUCCUGACUGACCGAUAGUGAACCAGUACCGUGAGGGAAAGGCGAAAAGAACCCCGGCGAGGGGAGUGAAAAAGAACCUGAAACCGUGUACGUACAAGCAGUGGGAGCACGCUUAGGCGUGUGACUGCGUACCUUUUGUAUAAUGGGUCAGCGACUUAUAUUCUGUAGCAAGGUUAACCGAAUAGGGGAGCCGAAGGGAAACCGAGUCUUAACUGGGCGUUAAGUUGCAGGGUAUAGACCCGAAACCCGGUGAUCUAGCCAUGGGCAGGUUGAAGGUUGGGUAACACUAACUGGAGGACCGAACCGACUAAUGUUGAAAAAUUAGCGGAUGACUUGUGGCUGGGGGUGAAAGGCCAAUCAAACCGGGAGAUAGCUGGUUCUCCCCGAAAGCUAUUUAGGUAGCGCCUCGUGAAUUCAUCUCCGGGGGUAGAGCACUGUUUCGGCAAGGGGGUCAUCCCGACUUACCAACCCGAUGCAAACUGCGAAUACCGGAGAAUGUUAUCACGGGAGACACACGGCGGGUGCUAACGUCCGUCGUGAAGAGGGAAACAACCCAGACCGCCAGCUAAGGUCCCAAAGUCAUGGUUAAGUGGGAAACGAUGUGGGAAGGCCCAGACAGCCAGGAUGUUGGCUUAGAAGCAGCCAUCAUUUAAAGAAAGCGUAAUAGCUCACUGGUCGAGUCGGCCUGCGCGGAAGAUGUAACGGGGCUAAACCAUGCACCGAAGCUGCGGCAGCGACGCUUAUGCGUUGUUGGGUAGGGGAGCGUUCUGUAAGCCUGUGAAGGUGUACUGUGAGGUAUGCUGGAGGUAUCAGAAGUGCGAAUGCUGACAUAAGUAACGAUAAAGCGGGUGAAAAGCCCGCUCGCCGGAAGACCAAGGGUUCCUGUCCAACGUUAAUCGGGGCAGGGUGAGUCGACCCCUAAGGCGAGGCCGAAAGGCGUAGUCGAUGGGAAACAGGUUAAUAUUCCUGUACUUGGUGUUGCUGCGAAGGGGGGACGGAGAAGGCUAUGUUGGCCGGGCGACGGUCGUCCCGGUUUAAGCGUGUAGGCUGGUUUUCCAGGCAAAUCCGGAAAAUCAAGGCUGAGGCGUGAUGACGAGGCACUACGGUGCUGAAGCAACAAAUGCCCUGCUUCCAGGAAAAGCCUCUAAGCAUCAGGUAACAUCAAAUCGUACCCCAAACCGACACAGGUGGUCAGGUAGAGAAUACCAAGGCGCUUGAGAGAACUCGGGUGAAGGAACUAGGCAAAAUGGUGCCGUAACUUCGGGAGAAGGCACGCUGAUAUGUAGGUGAAGCGACUUGCUCGUGGAGCUGAAAUCAGUCGAAGAUACCAGCUGGCUGCAACUGUUUAUUAAAAACACAGCACUGUGCAAACACGAAAGUGGACGUAUACGGUGUGACGCCUGCCCGGUGCCGGAAGGUUAAUUGAUGGGGUCAGCGCAAGCGAAGCUCUUGAUCGAAGCCCCGGUAAACGGCGGCCGUAACUAUAACGGUCCUAAGGUAGCGAAAUUCCUUGUCGGGUAAGUUCCGACCUGCACGAAUGGCGUAAUGAUGGCCAGGCUGUCUCCACCCGAGACUCAGUGAAAUUGAACUCGCUGUGAAGAUGCAGUGUACCCGCGGCAAGACGGAAAGACCCCGUGAACCUUUACUAUAGCUUGACACUGAACAUUGAGCCUUGAUGUGUAGGAUAGGUGGGAGGCUUUGAAGUGUGGACGCCAGUCUGCAUGGAGCCGACCUUGAAAUACCACCCUUUAAUGUUUGAUGUUCUAACGUGGACCCGUAAUCCGGGUUGCGGACAGUGUCUGGUGGGUAGUUUGACUGGGGCGGUCUCCUCCUAAAGAGUAACGGAGGAGCACGAAGGUUGGCUAAUCCUGGUCGGACAUCAGGAGGUUAGUGCAAUGGCAUAAGCCAGCUUGACUGCGAGCGUGACGGCGCGAGCAGGUGCGAAAGCAGGUCAUAGUGAUCCGGUGGUUCUGAAUGGAAGGGCCAUCGCUCAACGGAUAAAAGGUACUCCGGGGAUAACAGGCUGAUACCGCCCAAGAGUUCAUAUCGACGGCGGUGUUUGGCACCUCGAUGUCGGCUCAUCACAUCCUGGGGCUGAAGUAGGUCCCAAGGGUAUGGCUGUUCGCCAUUUAAAGUGGUACGCGAGCUGGGUUUAGAACGUCGUGAGACAGUUCGGUCCCUAUCUGCCGUGGGCGCUGGAGAACUGAGGGGGGCUGCUCCUAGUACGAGAGGACCGGAGUGGACGCAUCACUGGUGUUCGGGUUGUCAUGCCAAUGGCACUGCCCGGUAGCUAAAUGCGGAAGAGAUAAGUGCUGAAAGCAUCUAAGCACGAAACUUGCCCCGAGAUGAGUUCUCCCUGACUCCUUGAGAGUCCUGAAGGAACGUUGAAGACGACGACGUUGAUAGGCCGGGUGUGUAAGCGCAGCGAUGCGUUGAGCUAACCGGUACUAAUGAACCGUGAGGCUUAACCUU